CAAUUAUUAUUUGCGGCAACACAACUUGUGUCAUUAAAGACAAGAGCCAGUGCUGUGGAGAUGGCACUGAAGAUGCAUCCCGGCUCGUUCGUUUCCACCCCCAAGAAGAAGUUCACUGUAUAGAAGCGAAACCCAACCCGUUCCACAUACAAUACAAACAAAAAUUCCGGCGCGAGCGCGACGCGUGAUGAAGGGAAAAGUCUGCCUUCGCAGGACGGGGUUUUACACGGACUCAGAGAAGCCAUCGGCAAAGCUGUGAGCAGAAGACAGGAGACGAGCAUUGAGCUGAGCAACAAAAGGAUGCUUGGAGACAGCCCUGGGUGGGAUGGGGCCGCUUACAAUCCCACGUGGUGAAGCAGCCAUUGCUGGCUCCCCCGGAGACACUGUGGAGAGGGAAAUAAGGUGGAGCUAACACUAUUCACUGUUUCGUUGGUAGAUUUUAAGAGAGAAGCUGUUACAUUUUCCUUUUUUCAUGCAAGAAAGACAAAAUGACUAAAAUAAUAAACCAUGUACGGUGAGGGCUCAGCACCCACCCAGUAGCACUGCAAGUAA
rnacentral:lncRNA from 1 species